rnacentral:rRNA from 1 species
UACGGAGGUGGCAAGCGUUGUUCGGAAUUACUGGGCGUAAAGGGCGCGUAGGCGGCAAGGCAAGUCAGGUGUGAAAGCCCCGAGCUUAACUCGGGAAUUGCAUCUGAAACUGCUGUGCUUGAGUUCUGGAGGGGGUAGUGGAGUUCCCAGUGUAGCGGUGAAAUGCGUAGAUAUUGGGAGGAACACCUGCGGCGAAGGCGGCUACCUGGACAGAAACUGACGCUGAGGCGCGAAAGCUAGGGGAGCGAACGGG